rnacentral:rRNA from 1 species
AUGAUUUGCUUCAAUUGUAGUUGGCAUGGCCAUUAUGUGGGGAAUUGUGUAGAGUCAAAGAAGUGCUUUAUCUAUGCCGGGAGUCAUAAUGUGAACAACUGUGCUGCUUGGGCAAAGCCUCAACCUGCUGCCACUUAUUUUGGUAGUGCUGCUUCUGGAUUAGGGUUCUAUCACAUUGAAGUUCCUAUAGCUGCUGAGUCUAGUUGGCUUAAUUACAAAAACUGUGCUGUUCUUAAAGUGGUUAAAGGAGAGGUCUCUGCCUCUGAACUACUGACCUAGUUAAAUGGAAUCUUCUGCAAGAAUAAGGAAUGGCCAUGGCAAAUCAGAGAGUUGGAAAGUAAUAAGUUUUUGCUGAGGUUUCCACCUUGGAAAAAUGUGGAGGACCUGAUUGAGUUCCCUCCUUUUGAAUUGCCUGUUGCUGGAGUGUCAGUUAAAAUCUGUGAAUGGGAAGGUAUGUUGGAUGAAUUUGGGGCACUGAUUGAAGCAUGGGUACAGAUUGAGGGUAUUCCACCCAAGUGGUGUGCAUGGAAGGUGUUUGCCCAGAUUGCUGCCUGCUUUGGCAUCCUUGUGGAUGUAGAUUGGAAUGACAUUUUCAAAAGUUUCUAUGAAAAAAUUCGAGUCAAAAUUGCCUGUAGAGAUCCCAGGAAAAUUCCUUUUGAGAGAUUGGUGAAGAUGAAAAAGAAACUUUACUUACUGUUUUUUACAGUAGAAGGUUUUGAG